rnacentral:lncRNA from 1 species
CGGACGGUACGAGGCAAGAGAGCUGGAUGGUCCGGACCAGGCAGACGUUCCGAGACCUAGGGGCAGACGGUCCGCAUGCUUCGAGAUAGAGUCUUCCCUAGAAACUCACAAACACAAAAAGGGGGAUAUUGUAAGUUCAUUUGGCCCCCUAUUUUGGUUUUGGUGUUGAUGACGUGCAUGAUUAGAGGACUAAUAUGAUUAUCAAGUGAUUGACAGGGUUUAAUUGCAAAAG